GUCCAGACUCCUACGGGAGGCAGCAGUGGGGAAUAUUGGGCAAUGGGCGCAAGCCUGACCCAGCAAUGCCGCGUGAAGGAAGAAGGCCUUCGGGUUGUAAACUUCUUUUAUCAGGGACGAAGGAUGUGACGGUACCUGAUGAAUAAGCUCCGGCUAACUACGUGCCAGCAGCCGCGGUAAUACGUAGGGAGCAAGCGUUAUCCGGAUUUAUUGGGUGUAAAGGGCGUGUAGGCGGGAAUGCAAGUCAGAUGUGAAAACUAUGGGCUCAACCCAUAGCCUGCAUUUGAAACUGUAUUUCUUGAGUGCUGGAGGGGCAAUCGGAAUUCCGUGUGUAGCGGUGAAAUGCGUAGAUAUAAGGAAGAACACCAGUGGCGAAGGCGGAUUACUGGACGAUAACUGACGGUGAGGCGCGAAAGCGUGGGGAGCAAACAGGAUUAGAUACCCGCGUAACC
rnacentral:rRNA from 1 species